rnacentral:rRNA from 1 species
CAAGUCAGACGAGAAAGUUCGCUUCGGCGAAUGAGUAGAGUGGCGCACGGGUGAGUAACGCGUGGAUAAUCUACCCCCGAGUUAGGAAUAACCCACCGAAAGGUGGGCUAAUACCGAAUAAUACUGUACUUCUCAGGGAGUACAGCCAAAGAUGGCCUCUGUUUACAAGCUAUCGCUCGAGGAUGAGUUCGCGUACCAUUAGCUUGUUGGUGGGGUAAAAGCCUACCAAGGCGACGAUGGUUAGCUGGUCUGAGAGGACGACCAGCCACACUGGAACUGAGACACGGUCCAGACUCCUACGGGAGGCAGCAGUGAGGAAUCUUGCGCAAUGGGGGAAACCCUGACGCAGCAACGCCGCGUGAGUGAGGAAGGCCUUCGGGUCGUAAAGCUCUGUCAGGUGGGAAGAAAUGUAUGAAGGCCAAUACCCUUCAUAUUUGACGGUACCACCAGAGGAAGCACCGGCAAACUCCGUGCCAGCAGCCGCGGUAACACGGGGGGUGAAAGCGUUGUUCGGAAU